UACGUAGGUGGCAAGCGUUGUUCGGAAUUACUGGGCGUAAAGCGCGUGUAGGCGGUUGUCCAAGAUGGAUGUGAAAGCCUUGAGCUCAACUCAAGAAAUGCAUUCAGGACUGGAUGACUAGAGGACCGGAGAGGAUAGUGGAAUUCCCAGUGUAGUGGUGAAAUACGUAGAGAUUGGGAAGAACACCAGUGGCGAAGGCGGCUAUCUGGACGGUUUCUGACGCUAAGACGCGAAAGCGUGGGGAGCAAACAGG
rnacentral:rRNA from 1 species